AGAGUGAACGCUGGCGGCAGGCCUAACACAUGCAAGUCGAACGGCAGCACAGAGGAGCUUGCUCCUUGGGUGGCGAGUGGCGGACGGGUGAGGAAAACGUCGGAAUCUGCCUAUUUGUGGGGGAUAACGUAGGGAAACUUACGCUAAUACCGCAUACGACCUACGGGUGAAAGCGGAGGACCUUCGGGCUUCGCGCAGAUAGAUGAGCCGACGUCGGAUUAGCUAGUUGGCGGGUAAAGCCCACGAAGGCGACGAUCCGUAGCUGGUCUGAGAGGAUGAUCAGCCACACGUGGAACUGAGACACGGUCCAGACCUCCGUACGGGAGCAGCGAGGUGGGAAUAGUUAGGACAAGUGGGCGACAAGGCCUGACUCCAAGCCAUCGGCCG
rnacentral:rRNA from 1 species